rnacentral:lncRNA from 1 species
AGAGUGGAGGAGGGGACAAGUUGUGUUAGAUUGACAUACAAACCAUGAGGUGUUGAUGUUGAUGAACAAACUUAAAAUACCAUACAAAUCACGGGCUGGCAUGUUGGGAUAGGUAGAUCAGGUUGUGCCGGGCUGGCUGGGCUAGUCAGAAUGAGUUAUGCUGGGCUGACGGGUUGAAAAGUUUGUCUCGUCCCAUAUUUUUUGGCUUGACCCUUUUUACCACCCC